ensembl:rRNA 5S_rRNA 5S ribosomal RNA
GCCUGCAGCCACACCACCCUGAACUGAACUUGUCCACACUGGAGCUUGUCUCUUGGAAGCUAAGCGGGGUUAGGCCCAGUUAGUACUAGGAUGAGAGCUCUCUUGGAAAUUCUGGGUGCUGUAGGCU